AUUGAACGCUGGCGGCAGGCUUAACACAUGCAAGUCGAGCGGUAACAGAGAGAAGCUUGCUUCUCUGCUGACGAGCGGCGGACGGGUGAGUAAUGCCUAGGAAUCUGCCUAGUAGUGAGGGAUAACUUGCCGAAAGGUAAGCUAAUACCGCAUACGUCCUACGGGAGAAAGGAGGGGACCUUCGGGCCUUUCGCUAUUAGAUGAGCCUAGGUCGGAUUAGUUAGUUGGUGAGGUAAUGGCUCACCAAGACCGCGAUCCGUAACUGGUCUGAGAGGAUGAUCAGUCACACUGGAACUGAGACGCGGUCCAGACUCCUACGGGAGGCAGCAGUGGGGAAUAUUGGACAAUGGGGGGAACCCUGAUCCAGCCAUGCCGCGUGUGUGAAGAAGGUCUUAGGAUUGUAAAGCACUUUAAGUUGGGAGGAAGAGCAGUUAACUAAUAUUUGACUGUUUUGACGUUACCGACAGAAUAAGCACCGGCUAACUUCGUGCCAGCAGCCGCAGUAA
rnacentral:rRNA from 1 species